rnacentral:lncRNA from 1 species
UGGUAUACAUAGAGUUCAUUUUGGAUUUCAUGAUAUUGAGCCAUUUCUUAGAGUCACUACUCAUGACAGCUUCUGAAUAGAUCGUGAGAUCAUCAUUCUCAAUGAUGUGGGAUGUAUUGUCAUUCUCAAUAACAAACCUAUAUCUAAGUGGUAUAUUAUGUACUCUACUUGACCUUCGGAGAGGAAGUGUGUGUAGUAGUUGUGUCUCAACAAUGGGCACAUUUGGUUGAGAUCAACUUGUGAAUCUUGAAUGGGUUGUAGAUUUUAAACUUCCUCAAGUUCAAUAGACCUCCCACUACCCUCUUCUUAGAUAAACUCUUUCUCUAAGAAAAUAGUAUGCCUACUAACAAAUACCUUUUAUUGAGUAGGAUGGUGAAGUAGUAUGCUACACUCUCCUUGAGAUAACCCACAAACCUAUAUUUUUCUAAUCUAGCACUAAGUUUAUGUCCAUCAAUAUUUUUCACAUAAGCAGAGCAACUCCAAAUCUUAAGACGUUUAAAACUAUCUUUUCUUUUUAUAUCUCAUAUAGAGUGCUAGAGACAGAUUUGGAUGGCACUUUGUUCAAAACAUACGCUGUGGCCUCG